UCUAAAAAUUUAUAAUAGAAUUUUAUUUUUAAGUCAAAAAGCUAAAAUAAAUUUAAAAGACGAGAAGACCCUAUAAAUCUUUAUAUUUAGAUAAUUACAAUUUUGUGGAUUUUUUUUGUUGUGAUUGUUGAUAAUAUUUUAUUGGGGUGAUAUUAAAAUUUAAAAAACUUUUAAUUAAUUAAAUCAUUAAUUUAUGAAUAAUUGAUCCGUUAUUAACGAUUAAAAAUUUAAGUUACCUUAAGAAUAACAG
rnacentral:rRNA from 1 species